UCCCACGCAGCCCGCGGCCUGAAAGGCUGGUCUCACUCCCACUGAGUGGCUUGCAUAUGAUCUUAUAUAUACUCUCACUCUCACUCCUGGCUUGUAUAUGAUCUUAUACAAGUUAGAAAAGCAAGCUGACUCACAGUUUCUUGGCUCUCCCACAGAGCCUGCAGUGGCUAUCCACCUCCUUCAAAGGGUCUGUGGAUUCUCUUGGCUUUCCUGGAAUGCCUGUUACUAUGCAUCUAACAAAGGACUAAAAUCCAGAAUCUACAAGGAACUAAACUCAACAAGAAAAAAUAAUCUCAUUAACAAGUGGGGAAAAGAUAGGAACAGACAUUUCUCAAAAGAAGAUAUACAAGAGGACAAGAAACAUAAAAUAAAAUGCUCAAUAUCACUAACCGUCAGUGAAAUGCAAGUUAAAACCACAAUGAGAUGCCACAUCACACCGGUCGGAAUGGCCAUUAUUAAAAAGUCAAAAAACCACAGAUGUCGACAAAGAUGCAGAGAAAAGGGAGCACUUAUACACCGUUGGUGCGAAUAUGAAUUAGUACAACCUCUAUGGACAACAGUAUAGAGAUUUCUCAAAGAAGUAAAAAUAGAACCACCAUUAGGCCCAGCAAUCCCACUACUGGGUAUCUACCCAAAGAAAGAGAAAUUGUUAUAUAUAUAUAUCUGCACUCAUAUGUUUAUCACUGCACUAGUCGCAGUAACAAAGUCAUGGAAUGAACCUAAGUUUCCAUCAAAAGAUGAUUGGAUAAAGAAAAUGUGGAAUACCAUGAAAUACUACACAUCCGUAGAAAAAAAAUUAUGUCUUCUGCAGCAACAUGGAUGUAACUGGAGGUCAAAAUACUCAGAAACACAACAUCAAAUACCACAUGUUCUCACUUAUAAAUGGGAGACAUGUACAAACAGAGAAAAAUAGUCAAGGCUGGGGACUUUAAAAGAGGGGCUUGGGAGGGACUUGAGAGUUGAAAAAUUACCUACUGGAUACAAUGUUCAUUAUUCAGGUAAUAGGAACAUUAGAAGCCCAAAUCUCAGCUUUCCACAAUAUAUCCAUGUGACAAAUCUGCAUAUAUACCCACUGAAUCUAUAAAAAUAAAAUGAAUAAAUUUUAAAAAGCAUGUUUCAACACUUCAUAGAAA
rnacentral:lncRNA from 1 species